CCAGUGUGUAGGAAAAUUGCAGGUGUGGCUUUUGUGUCACAUGAGUGUCAGUAGGUGGCAGAGGGGAGAGAUGCUAUGUCUAUAUUCAGAAUUCUGAUCUGUGAACAUCUGAAUGAUUUAGCAGCCUGACAAU